rnacentral:sRNA from 1 species
GAAGGAUGGAAGUUGAGAGGGUUGGGGAAGAGAUGUUAAACUGUCAUGAUGUUGAAUUACCUGUGAAAUGUUCUUUCAUUACCGUCUUCCUUGGAAGACGGUAUAAAGAGUUGAAAUAAUUUACAGUCUCCGGGCUGUGCACUUCCUCUUCUUUGUGAUUGGUAGAAAAUACAUGAUGUGAAAAUUUACAUUUAUUUCAUUGGUUGAUAUACUGUUCGGCACAAGGGAGAUAAUUUUUUGAUGAUCGAUUUUACGUACGACUUAACAAUUUUCGUAGAUUUCAAAUCUUAAAAAGUGAGAAAACGAAAGAACAAUAAAAAGGGCUCUUAGCUUUCAUUUUUCUGUUAACCAGUUGAAAGGAAUAUUCUGCAACAUCUCUUAAAAUAAUUUGUUCUUUUCUUUUUGUUUUGAUCAUACAAAUAUCAAUGAAAUUUGAUACGGUAUGGUUAAUAUCAGUAAACAAGUUUGUAUAUUAGAUACGGUGAAACUAAUAUCAGUAAAAAUGAAUGAUACUGAAUGCAGUUGUAUUGACUUUGAUUUUACUACAGUGAACCCUUCCUAGGAUCUCUUUUGACUUACUACAGUCGAUUUCAAAUAAAUAAUACGUGGUAAUUUAUUUUAAAUUUUAAGCACGCACGCUUAAAAGGCACAUAUUUAAAAAAAGUUCGGCACGCUAUUGCAUGGAGAAGAAGGCGACAUUUAUAUAAAAAAAAUAAUUAAAUUGUCUUUCAUAUCUUAUUGCUGUUAAGAGUUUGAUUUAAAGACGGUAAGCUUUUUUAAAAAGCUAAACUUGUUCAUGUUAAACUUCAAUUGCUUAACACUGUUUUGUUUGUUAAGGUUUUUUUUUUAAAUUGUGUAUUGUGUGUCAAAGAUUUACAAUUAUACCUACAAAAGGUAAAUGUUAAUAUAUACAGUUAGGACUUAAACCUAGAGGGUGAUAGGCUUGAUGAAAGAAGAAAUUUUGUUUUCUUUAUCAUUAAAGUCUAUAUUGCUGUUUUUAUGCAGGCGGAAAUUGAGACAUCAAUUGAUUUCUUCUGAGAAUAAAAAUAUAUACAAAUUAUUCAUGGGGAAAGGAGGGGAGUGGGGGUGGGGGGGAAUACAUGUACCUAAUUUUUAGGAUUGCAUGGAAACACAUUCAUUAGUUUUCUAGGUCUCUUGAUUCAGAAUGCCGAGCUGAAAUACCUUAUUGUUGAAGAUUUGUACAUUGUAGGUCUAAUAUAAAGUUGAUUUUUUUUCCCUUAAACUAAAUUGUACAUUUCUGUUAAUCUGUUAAAUGUUCACAAUUGCCAUAUGUUUUAUUUGUAUUUCUCUCUUUUUUUUUUUAAUAGAAUGAUAUCAGUUAACAUCUUUUACACUAAAGAAUAAUUUGAUUCUUGUUGAAACGCCUGAGUCACUUGGUUAGCUAAAUAAAUUUAUUGUAUAAUAUGAUUUGCCCACAUCACAAUGUAACACGCAAGCAAAUUCAAAUUCAUACUGAUCCUCUUGACAUUACUUUUGAAUUUUGUACAAGUCAUCAUUUUUUCAGAUAAUGGCAAGGUUUAUUUAAAUAAAUUUAAUUUCUACCUAAGUUUUAUUAACUUGUGACAUUUUAUAAAGAAAUUUAAUUUCUACCUAUAUUAUAUGAGUAUAUUUUAUGGUGUUUAUAAAUAAAUUAAAUUUCUACCUUUGUUUUAUGAAUAUAACUUGUGACAGUUAAUAAAGAAAUUUAAUUUCUACCUAUGUUAUAUGAGUAUAACUUGUGACAGCUAGUUUAUAGAACGUAAACUUAACAGAGGAAAAUAUUAGAAUAUUCCUUUGAUAAAAUGAAGAUUUAUCUCUACCAAUACAAAUAAUCAACAUUCUUUUUUUAUGCAUAAGAACCAUAUAUCAUGGCCACUCAUACACAUGUAGGUGCUGUGGCAUUAUUAGAUACAUUUGUAGUUCCAUUUCUGCAUGCAUGCAUGUUCAUGUAGAGUGAUAUAUGUUUUACUGUAUUAAAUUAUAAUCUAGUCUAAAUUGUAGUCAAAUCAUACUUUGAAAUUUACAACUGCUUUUUUAUUGUGAAUGUAUUAUCAUGGAACUUAGUGGAUAUUAGAUUUUUUGCUGUGUCUAUGUUUAAGAAAGCAAUUCAAGGGGAACAACUUCGGUUGUACUACUAAUUCUAGUGACAGUGUUUAUUCUUGUCAGUCAUAUAUAUCUUCAAUCUUGAGACAUGCUUCCUAUUUUUUUUUACAACCAUUGAUAUUUGUUAUCUACAUUUAUACAUGAAAUAAAUCUAUUAUUAUAU